GCAUCUGUGGCCGAGAGGCCGAAGGCAGCGGACUCAUAAUCCGCCUUCCUAAAUAGGACGUCGCUGGUUCGAAUCCAGCCAGAUGCA
rnacentral:tRNA from 1 species